rnacentral:ncRNA from 1 species
UUUCCCUAAGGACAGUUGAAGUACGUAAUGAAGCUGUUUUAUUCGAUAAAGCGAAUGAUUAGAAGAAUUGUGAGACAAAACGUUUUCAUUCUAUUCUCAAACUUUCAAUGAGUGUGACGUCUUGCUUGCUUGGAUUGACACGUAGACAUUGAAUGUGUGCUCCAAGUAGACCAUUUUUGGUAAAAAAAAAAAAAAAAAAAAGGUGGCGCAGUGAGAUGAACUG